rnacentral:rRNA from 1 species
GGCGAACGCUGGCGGCGCGCCUAACACAUGCAAGUCGAGCGAUGAAAUUUUAACCGCUCUCUUCGGAGAGAAGAUAAAAUGGAUUAGCGGCGGACGGGUGAGUAACACGUGAGAAACCUGCCUUUCACAAGGGGAUAGCCUCGGGACACCGGGAUUAAUACCCUCUGACACAUUUCCUUCGCAUGGAAGAAAUGUUAAAACUUCGGUGGUGAACGUUGGUCGCGCGCCUGAUUAGCUAGUUGGUGGGGUAACGGCCCACCAAGGCCUGGCCCAGUAACCUGGCAGAGAGGGUGAACGGUCACAGUGGAACUGAGACACGGUACAAACUCCUACGGGAGGCAGCAGUGGGGAAUAUUGCACAAUGGAGGAAACUCUGAUGCAGCGACGCCGCGUGAGCGAUGAAGGCUUUCGAGUCGUAAAGCUCUGUCCUAUGGGAAGAUAAUGACGGUACCAUAGGAGGAAGCCCCGGCUAACUACGUG